GAUGAAGAACGCAGCGAAAUGCGAUAAGUAAUGCGAAUUGCAGAAUUUCCGUGAGUCAUCGAAUCUUUGAACGCACAUUGCGCCCGCCAGUAUUCUGGCGGGCAUGCCUGUUCGAGCGUCAUUUCAACCAUCAAGCCCCCGGGCUUGUGUUGGGGACCUGCGGCUGCCGCAGGCCCUGAAAACCAGUGGCGGGCUCGCUAGUCACUCCGAGCGUAGUAGUUACAUCUCGCUCAGGGCGUGCUGCGGGUUCCGGCCGUUAAAAGCCUUUUACCCCAAGGUUGACCUCGGAUCAGGUAGGAAGACCCGCUGAACUUAAGCAUAUCAAUAAGCGGAGGA
rnacentral:misc_RNA from 1 species